AUCUUUCCAUACAAAGGCACCACCCACAUGCAAAUCCUCAUUUAAACGCCUACAGGAAGCCACCACACAUUUCCUUAAAUUCAGGGUUCUGCUCACAUGGGAAAUGCUCUCUGAGAGUCAUGGACAUCCUGUGCAAGAACAUGAAGCACCUGUGGUUCUUCCUUCUCCUGGUGGCAGCUCCCAGAGGGGUCCUGUCCCAGCUGCAGCUGCAGGAGUCGGGCCCAGGACUGGUGAAGCCUUCGGAGACCCUGUCCCUCACCUGCGCUGUCUCUGGUGGCUCCAUCAGCAGUUACUGGUGGGGCUGGAUCCGCCAGGCCCCAGGGAAGGGACUGGAGUGGAUUGGGAAUAUCUAUGGUAGUGGUGGGAGCACCGAAUACAACCCCUCCCUCAAGAGUCGAGUCACCAUUUCAAAAGACACGUCCAAGAACCAGUUCUCCCUGAAGCUGAGCUCUGUGACCGCCGCGGACACGGCCGUGUAUUACUGUGCGAGAGACACAGUGAGGGGAGGUGAGUGUGAGCCCAGACACAAACCUCCCUGCAGGGAGGCGGAGGGGGCGGGCGCAGGUGCCGCUCAGGACCAGCAGGGGGCGCGCGGGGCCCACAGAGCAGGAGGCCGGGUCAGGAGCAGGUGCAGGGAGGGCGGGGCUUCCUCAUCUGCUCAGUGCUCUCCCUCCUCACCAGCGCCUCAGCUGUCCCCAGGGCUCCUCUUUCUUUGAUAUCUGUGGUUCUGCUUCCUCACAUCCUUGUGCCAGGAA